rnacentral:rRNA from 1 species
UGGGGAAUAUUGGACAAUGGGCGCAAGCCUGAUCCAGCCAUGCCGCGUGAGUGAUGAAGGCCUUAGGGUUGUAAAGCUCUUUUACUCGGGAAGAUAGUGACGGUACCGAGGGAAUAAGCCCCGGCUAACUUCGUGCCAGCAGCCGCGGUAAUACGAAGGGGGCUAGCGUUGUUCGGAUUUACUGGGCGUAAAGCGCACGUAGGCGGAUCUUUAAGUCAGGGGUGAAAUCCCGAGGCUCAACCUCGGAACUGCCUUUGAUACUGGGGAUCUUGAGUCCGGAAGAGGUGAGUGGAACUGCGAGUGUAGAGGUGAAAUUCGUAGAUAUUCGCAAGAACACCAGUGGCGAAGGCGGCUCACUGGUCCGGAACUGACGCUGAGGUGCGAAAGCGUGGGGAGCAAA